rnacentral:rRNA from 1 species
CACCGCGGUUAUACGAGGGGCCCAAGUAAAUAGACAACGGCACAAAGGGUGGUUAGGGAUAUAAAUAAAAACUAAAGCAAAACCCUUUCAAUGCUGUUAUACGCCUCCGAAAAUAUGAACCUCAAUCACGAAGGUAGCUUUAAUAAUCCUGAACCCACGAAAGCUAAGAAA